CAGUCGCCGCGGGAAUACGAAGGGUGCAAGCGUUACUCGGAAUUACUGGGCGUAAAGCGUGCGUAGGUGGUGGUUUAAGUCCGUUGUGAAAGCCCUGGGCUCAACCUGGGAAUUGCAGUGGAUACUGGGUCACUAGAGUGUGGUAGAGGAUAGUGGAAUUUCCGGUGUAGCAGUGAAAUGCGUAGAGAUCGGAAGGAACAUCUGUGGCGAAGGCGACUAUCUGGGCCAACACUGACACUGAGGCACGAAAGCGUGGGGAGCGAACAGGAUUAGAUACCCGAGUAGUCCCUGUCUCUUAUAC
rnacentral:rRNA from 1 species